UCAAGUCCUCAUGGCCCUUACGGGCUGGGCUACACACGUGCUACAAUGGCGGUGACAAUGGGCAGCGAAAGGGCGACCUGGAGCUAAUCCCCAAAAACCUUCUCUCAGUUCAGAUUGCAGUCUGCAACUCGACUGCAUGAAGCUGGAAUCGCUAGUAAUCGUAUAUCAGCAAUGAUACGGUGAAUACGUUCCCGGACCUU
rnacentral:rRNA from 1 species